rnacentral:rRNA from 1 species
CAUGCAAGUCGGGCGGCAAGGUGCAGCGAUGCACUCUAGAGCGGCGGACUGGUGAGUAACACGUGGGUGACGCAUCCUGAGGUUGGGGACAGCCNGUAGAAAUGCCGGGUAAUACCGGAUACGCUUCUGCUGCUGGUGGCGGCGGAAGGAAAGGCGCUACGGCGUCGUCUUCGGAGCGGCUCGCGGCCCAUUAGCUAGUUGGUGUGGUAACGGCGCACCAAGGCUGCGAUGGGUAUCCGGCCUGAGAGGGUGAACGGGCACAUUGGGACUGAGAUACGGCCCAGACUCCUGCGGGAGGCAGCAGCUAAGAAUAUUCCGCAAUGGACGGAAGUCUGACGGAGCGACGCCGCGUGGACGAUGAAGGCUUGAUUGUUGUAAAGUUCUUUUGGAUCGGGCGAAGGAGCGGGGGAGGGAAUGCCCCUGUGGUGACGGUACGGUCUGAAUAAGCACCGGCUAAUUACGUGCCAGCAGCCGCGGUAACACGUAAGGUGCGAGCGUUGUUCGGAAUUAUUGGGCGUAAAGGGUAUGUAGGCGGUACGGCAAGCAUGGCGUGAAAGGCGGGGGCUUAACUCCUGGAAUGCGCCGUGGACUGUCGUGCUUGAGUUUCUGAAGGGGAGUCGGAAUUCCUGGUGUAGGGGUGAAAUCUGUAGAUAUCAGGAAGAACACCGAUGGCGGAGGCAGGCUUCUGGCAGGGWACUGACGCUGAGGUACGAAGGUGCGGGGAGCGAACAGGAUUAGAUACCCUGGUAGUCCGCACAGUAAACGAUGCACACUAGGUGUCUGUCUUUGCCGGGCGGGCGCCGAAGCGAACGCGGUAAGUGUGCCGCCUGGGGAGUAUGCCCGCAAGGGUGAAACUCAAAGGAAUUGACGGGGGCCCGCACAAGCNGUGGAGCAUGUGGCUUAAUUCGAUGGUACGCGAGGAACCUUACCUGGGUUUGACAUGGGAGCUGAUCUGGCGGAGACGCUGGGGCGCGGAAACGCGGGCUUUCACAGGUGCUGCAUGGCUGUAGUCAGCUCGUGCCGUGAGGUGUUGGGUUAAGUCCGCAACGAGCGCAACCCCUACUGCCAUGGUCCAGCAGGCGAUGCUGGGGACUCUGGCGGAACUGCCGGCGGCAAGCCGGAGGAAGGUGGGGAUGACGUCAAGUCAUCAUGGCCCUUAUGUCCAGGGCUGCACACGUGCUACAAUGGUUGAGACAGAGCGAAGCAGGGCAGUGAUGCGGAGCGAAGCGCUUAAAGGCGGCCGUAGUUCGGAUCGGAGUCUGAAACUCGACUCCGUGAAGUCGGAAUCGCUAGUAAUCGCGCAUCAGCAUGGCGCGGUGAAUACGUUCCCGGGCCUUGUACACACCGCCCGUCACACCAUCCGAGCAGGGGGCGCCCGAAGCCGGUAGCCCAACCCGAGAGGGGAGGCGCCGUCGAAGNCGCGUUUUGUAAGGAGGGUGAAGUCGUAACAAGGUAGCCGUACCGGAAGGUGCCGCU